rnacentral:rRNA from 1 species
UAGCGAAAGCGAGUUUUAACUGAGCGUUCAGUUACUUGACGUAGACCCGAAACCGGGCGACCUACCCAUGAGCAGGAUGAAGCGAAAGUAAAAUUUCGUGGAGGUCCGAACCCACGAGCGUUGAAAAGCUCGGGGAUGACUUGUGGGUAGCGGUGAAAUUCCAAUCGGGCCCGGAGAUAGCUGGUUCUCCCCGAAAUAGCUUUAGGGCUAGCCUCAAGGUGAGAGAUACGGAGGUAGAGCACUGAAUGUCCUAGGGGGUAUUGCACCUACCGAAGACUAUCAAACUCCGAAUGCCGUCAUCUU